rnacentral:rRNA from 1 species
UACGAGGGGGGCGAGCGUUGUUCGGAAUUAUUGGGCGUAAAGGGUGCGUAGGCGGUUCCGCAAGUCCUGUGUGAAAUCUUCGGGCUCAACUCGAAGUCUGCACGGGAAACUGCGGGGCUUGAGUGUGGGAGAGGUGAGUGGAAUUCCCGGUGUAGCGGUGAAAUGCGUAGAGAUGUGGAGGAAUACCGAUGGCGAAGGCAGCCCCCUGGGCCAAUACUGACGCUCAUGCACGAAAGCGUGGGGAGCAAACAGG